UGAGCUGGAAGGCCGCCGGGGGUUGUGGUAACUCUCGCGGGAAAGUGCGUCGUUGCCUCGGUAACGGCGUCGCGGCCGCGAAAGAUGGCCGGGAGAAGUUUUAAGAGACCGGGCGUUUCAGGGACUCCGCUCCCGCCACGCAUUCAGCAAGCUGCCACGCCUCGACGGGACCUCCUCGCCAAGGAGGAAGAAUAUAAACGUUUAAAUGCAGAAUUAGAGGCAAAAACAGCUGAUCUGGUUCGACAAGCUGAGGAAGUAAUAAGAGAUCAGCAAGAAGUACGAUCUAAGUCUGUUUCAGCACAAAUUAAAUCAUAUGUAGACAAAGAUGAUUACAGCUUUAGACGUCCAUUGUCUGAAGGGACAGUUCAUUUACAUUCAGAAACUAAGCCAAAGACCAAAAAUGUUGAUCCCAUAAACAAAGUUCAGAACAAACUACACUCUGCAAGUAAAGGAAGGAAAUCCAAUUCAAGUGUAAAAUUGAAAUACUGUCAUGUGCAGACUGCCAAUGAUGUUGCCAUUCCAGAGGAUUUCUCAGACUUUUCUCUUGAAAAAACAAUUAGCAAGAUUGAAGGGCAACUAGAGGAAGAAGGCUUACCUGAUUAUAUAAAUGAUGAUAUUUUUUCUGGUGUUAGUGAAGAUAUUGGAACAGAAGCACAGAUUAGAUUUCUGAAGGCCAAACUCCGUGUUAUGCAGGAAGAAUUGGAUAAUGUUGUCUGUGAAUGCAAUAAAAAGGAGGAUGAAAUUCAGGAUUUAAAGUCUCAACUGAAAAAUUUUGAAGAAGAUUGUGUGAGACAGCAGCGGACAAUUAAUUUGCAACAAUCUCAAACAGAAAAGUUUAAAACUCUUUUUGAAGAAGCAAACAAAAAAUGUGAUGGAUUACAGCAACAGUUGUCUUCAGUAGAAAGGGAAUUAGAGAAUAAAAGAAGACUGCAAAAACAGGCUGUUGCUAGUCAAAGUGCCAUGGAAGUCCGCUUAAAUCGAGCUCUAGAAGAAGCAGAAAAGUAUAAACUAGAGUUAAGUAAACUAAGGCAAAAUAACAAGAGUCUGCUCUGGAGGUAGCCUGGGCACACAAGGCCAUCAGGCCAGAAGGAACCGAAGUAGUGAUCCGGUGAGCAGGCCACCCAGGCAGGAGGGUGCUGGGAUAGCGACUGGAAAGUGAAAACCCAUUAGGCAGUGACUGGGCUAUUACAGGUAAAGCCUCCGUGAACAUUCACGUGCAAGUCUUUGUGGACGUGGAUCAGCUAUGCACACCCCUCUCUGGGAUCUCCUUCCCGCUUAGGUCACCACAGCGCACUGAGGCGGCUUCCCUCAGCUUUACAGAUAUAGCAAAUGAAGAACACAGAAAAAUCGAAGCAUUAAAAUCAGAAAACAAGAAGCUAGAAAAACAAAAAGGAGAAUUAAUGAUAGGAUUUAAGAAACAGUUAAAAUUAAUUGAUGUUUUAAAAAGGCAGA